rnacentral:misc_RNA from 1 species
AACGCAUAUUGCGCCCUUUGGCAUUCCGAGGGGCAUGCCUGUCCGAGCGUCAUUAAUCAUUAAUCAAGCACGGCUUGUUGUUGAGCAUCCUUUGUCCCCGACCCCCCUCUUUUUUGUUGGGGGAGGGACAGGCUUGAAAUGCAGUGGCGAUCGCUGAGAUUGGUUGCUCGAGUGUAUAGGGCUCCGUCACACACUCUGGUUGGCUCCAGCUCGCAUUCUGCCAUAACCCUUUUUUUUUUAGUCUGAUUGACCUCGGAUCAGGCAGGAAAACCCGCUGAACUUAA